rnacentral:rRNA from 1 species
CCAGACUCCUACGGGAGGCAGCAGUGGGGAAUAUUGCACAAUGGGGGAAACCCUGAUGCAGCGACGCCGCGUGAGUGAAGAAGUAUCUCGGUAUGUAAAGCUCUAUCAGCAGGGAAGAAAAUGACGGUACCUGACUAAGAAGCCCCGGCUAACUACGUGCCAGCAGCCGCGGUAAUACGUAGGGGGCAAGCGUUAUCCGGAUUUACUGGGUGUAAAGGGAGCGUAGACGGCAGUGCAAGUCUGAAGUGAAAGGCGGGGGCCCAACCCCCGGACUGCUUUGGAAACUGUGCUGCUGGAGUGCAGGAGAGGCAAGUGGAAUUCCUAGUGCAGCGGUGAAAUGCGUAGAUAUUAGGAGGAACACCAGUGGCGAAGGCGGCUUGCUGGACUGUAACUGACGUUGAGGCUCGAAAGCGUGGGGAGCAAACAGGAUUAGAUACCCGAGUA